rnacentral:rRNA from 1 species
GGUCAAGCGAAUAAGCGCACACGGUGGAUGCCUAGGCGGUCAGAGGCGAUGAAGGACGUGGUAGCCUGCGAAAAGUGUCGGGGAGCUGGCAACAAGCUUUGAUCCGGCAAUAUCCGAAUGGGGAAACCCACUGCUUCGGCAGUAUCCUGCAGUGAAUUCAUAGCUGCUGGAAGCGAACCCGGUGAACUGAAAUAUCUAAGUAACCGGAGGAAAAGAAAUCAACCGAGAUUCCCUAAGUAGUGACGAGCGAACGGGGAACAGCCCUUAAGCUGGAAUGGCUUUAGAAAAACAAUCUGGAAAGAUUGGCCAUAGAAGGUGAUAGCCCUGUAUUUAAAAGGGCCACUCCAGUGAAGACGAGUAGGGCGGGGCACGUGAAACCCUGUCUGAAUAUGGGGGGACCAUCCUCCAAGGCUAAAUACUCCUGACCGACCGAUAGUGAACCAGUACCGUGAGGGAAAGGCGAAAAGAACCCCGGAGAGGGGAGUGAAAUAGAUCCUGAAACCGUGUGCGUACAAGCAGUAGGAGCUCGCAAGAGUGACUGCGUACCUUUUGUAUAAUGGGUCAGCGACUUACUGUUCGUGGCAAGCUUAACCGUAUAGGGGAGGCGAAGGGAAACCGAGUCUGAUAAGGGCGCAUAGUCGCGGGCAGUAGACCCGAAACCGGGUGAUCUAGUCAUGGCCAGGGUGAAGGUGCCGUAACAGGUACUGGAGGCCCGAACCCACGUCUGUUGCAAAAGACGGGGAUGAGCUGUGAUUAGGAGUGAAAAGCUAAUCGAACCCGGAGAUAGCUGGUUCUCCUCGAAAGCUAUUUAGGUAGCGCCUCGGACGAAUACUACUGGGGGUAGAGCACUGUUAUGGCUAGGGGGUCAUCGCGACUUACCAAACCAUUGCAAACUCCGAAUACCAGUACGUACUAUCCGGGAGACACACGGCGGGUGCUAACGUCCGUCGUGAAAAGGGAAACAACCCAGACCCACAGCUAAGGUCCCAAAUUCACUGCUAAGUGGAAAACGAUGUGGAAAGGCAUAGACAGCCAGGAGGUUGGCUUAGAAGCAGCCACCCUUUAAAGAAAGCGUAAUAGCUCACUGGUCGAGUCGGUCUGCGCGGAAGAUUUAACGGGGCUAAGCAGUGAACCGAAGCUUGGGGUGCGUAAAACUUCGGUUUUAUGCGCGGUAGAGGAGCGUUCCGUAAGCCUGCGAAGGUGGAUUGAGAAGUCCGCUGGAGGUAUCGGAAGUGCGAAUGCUGACAUGAGUAACGAUAAUGCGGGUGAAAAGCCCGCACGCCGAAAGCCCAAGGUUUCCUUGCGCAACGUUAAUCGACGCAGGGUUAGUCGGUCCCUAAGGCGAGGGCGAAAGCCGUAGUCGAUGGGAAGCAGGUUAAUAUUCCUGCACCUCGCGUGAGUGCGAUGGAGGGACGGAGAAGGUUAGGUGUACCGGGCGUUGGUUGUCCCGGGGAAAGGCGGUAGGUUUGGAUCUUUGGCAAAUCCGGGAUCCUUUAAGACCGAGCACCGAGACGAGCCUUUAUGGCGAAGUCACUGAUACCACGCUUCCAGGAAAAGCUCCUAAGCUUCAGCUCACGAAGACCGUACCGUAAACCGACACAGGUGGGUAGGAUGAGAAUUCUCAGGCGCUUGAGAGAACUCGGGUGAAGGAACUAGGCAACAUGGCACCGUAACUUCGGGAGAAGGUGCACCCUUUUUGGUGGCUCAUGCGAGCUAUAGCUGAAGAGGGUCGCAGAAACCAGGCCGCUGCGACUGUUUAUCAAAAACACAGCACUCUGCAAACACGAAAGUGGACGUAUAGGGUGUGACGCCUGCCCGGUGCUGGAAGGUUAAUUGAUGGGGUCAGCCGCAAGGCGAAGCUCUUGAUCGAAGCCCCAGUAAACGGCGGCCGUAACUAUAACGGUCCUAAGGUAGCGAAAUUCCUUGUCGGGUAAGUUCCGACCUGCACGAAUGGCGUAACGACAGCGGCGCUGUCUCCACCCGAGACUCAGUGAAAUUGAAAUCGCUGUGAAGAUGCAGCGUUCCCGUGGCAAGACGGAAAGACCCCGUGAACCUUUACUAUAGCUUUACACUGAACGUUGAGUUCGUCUGUGUAGGAUAGGUGGGAGGCUAUGAAACUGUGGCGCUAGCUGCAGUGGAGCCAUCCUUGAAAUACCACCCUGUCGUGCUUGACGUUCUAACCUAGAUCCGUUAUCCGGAUCAGGGACCGUGUAUGGUGGGUAGUUUGACUGGGGCGGUCUCCUCCUAAAGAGUAACGGAGGAGCACGAAGGUACGCUCAGCGCGGUCGGACAUCGCGCACUGUGUGCAAAGGCAUAAGCGUGCUUGACUGCAAGAUCGACGGAUCAAGCAGGUACGAAAGUAGGUCUUAGUGAUCCGGUGGUUCUGUAUGGAAGGGCCAUCGCUCAACGGAUAAAAGGUACUCCGGGGAUAACAGGCUGAUACCGCCCAAGAGUUCAUAUCGACGGCGGUGUUUGGCACCUCGAUGUCGGCUCAUCACAUCCUGGGGCUGUAGUCGGUCCCAAGGGUAUGGCUGUUCGCCAUUUAAAGUGGUACGCGAGCUGGGUUCAGAACGUCGUGAGACAGUUCGGUCCCUAUCUGCCAUGGGCGUUGGAAGUUUGAGAGGGGCUGCUCCUAGUACGAGAGGACCGGAGUGGACGAACCUCUGGUGUUCCGGUUGUCACGCCAGUGGCAUUGCCGGGUAGCUAUGUUCGGAAGCGAUAACCGCUGAAAGCAUCUAAGCGGGAAGCGCGCCUCAAGAUGAGACUUCCCGGGGCACAAGCCCCCUAAAGGAACCAUAUAGACUAUGUGGUUGAUAGGUCAGGUGUGUAAGUACAGCAAUGUAUUGAGCUAACUGAUACUAAUGAUCCGUGCGGCUUGACCAU